UUGAUCUAGUGGAGUCAGGAAGAGCGAGAGAAACAUCAGCACCAGCGGAGGCAUGGGCUGGGACCCAGGCUCAGCAGGGAGAGCCUCGUCCAGCACCCACCAAGCCCUGGGUUCCAUCCUCCCCUGCAAUAAUCCAGGUACCUGCAGAGUCCUGGAGAAGGUGUCGGAUUACUGGAACUGGAUUACAGACAGUUGUGAGCCCCCAACAUGGACACUGGAACUGGACUAGGACCCUUGGGAGACUGAGCCACUCUGCCCAGCUACUGCCCCUAAUAUAUGUAUUUUUAAUAGAGGCUUGUUUGCAGUCACCGUGUUGAGGCAUUUUGUCACCGCUACAAGGAGAGUUACUGGCAGAGCCCUGAGACCCUACAGAGAGCAAAUCCUUGCCGCCAACCCUCCCCUGAGCAUCAACAUUUUCUGCUGUGGAGAGAAGCUGCCUGGGGAGUGGAGUGAGCUGCAUCCUGGAGUCCCGAGCAGGCUGCCCGUGGGUCUCAGUGGACAACAGAUAAUGUGGAG